rnacentral:rRNA from 1 species
ACACUCCUACGGGAGGCAGCAGUGGGGAAUUUUGGACAAUGGGCGAAAGCCUGAUCCAGCAAUGCCGCGUGUGUGAAGAAGGCCUUCGGGUUGUAAAGCACUUUUGUCCGGAAAGAAAUCCUUGGCUCUAAUACAGUCGAGGGAUGACGGUACCGGAAGAAUAAGCACCGGCUAACUACGUGCCAGCAGCCGCGGUAAUACGUAGGGUGCGAGCGUUAAUCGGAAUUACUGGGCGUAAAGCGUGCGCAGGCGGUUUGCUAAGACCGAUGUGAAAUCCCCGGGCUCAACCUGGGAACUGCAUUGGUGACUGGCAGGCUAGAUUAUGGCAGAGGGGGGUAGAAUUCCACGUGUAGCAGUGAAAUGCGUAGAGAUGUGGAGGAAUACCGAUGGCGAAGGCAGCCCCCUGGGCCAAUACUGACGCUCAUGCACGAAAGCGUGGGGAGCAAACAGGAUUAGAAACCCCAGUAGUCC